rnacentral:rRNA from 1 species
UUGGAGGGCAAGUCUGGUGCCAGCAGCCGCGGUAAUUCCAGCUCCAAUAGCGUAUAUUAAAGUUGUUGCAGUUAAAAAGCUCGUAGUUGAAUUUUAGCUCUGGCUGGGCGGUCCUGCCUUUAUGGUGGGUACUGCUUUGGCUGGGGUUCACCUUCUGGUAAAGCGGCAUGCCCUUCACUGGGUUGUGCCGGGGAACCAGGACUUUUACUUUGAAAAAAUUAGAGUGUUUAAAGCAGGCAUCCGCUUGAAUACAUUAGCAUGGAAUAAUGGAAUAGG